AACAUCAAAAUAAUAAAAUUCACCAGUAAGGCAUGAUUGUCAGAGGAAGUACAAGACUGUCUGGAUCAUUUCAUAAUAUAAGAAGUGUAACCAGUACACGGGCUGCUAUAUGUUCAAGACAACUUAGUGACAGUACGGUCCCAGAUAAAAUAACGUACGAGCUACCGUUCACACAUACGCCGGGCAGAUGGGAAACGUUAGAGGAAACGUUACCUAGAUUAGAAAGUUACAAACAACGUUCUACUGCUACUAAAAAGCUGCAGAAGCGGUACAUAAUAACGAUGGUCAGUUUGGUCACUUUGUUCUUCUACGUAAUGCGGCCAACUGCUGAGCAAAGACAGAUAGCUUCUCAGGGUUGGGAGGAUCUUAAAAGUGGAACAUUACUAGACCGGAGUAAAACUUCAGACAAAUCUGACUCAACGUGAAAGAGAUAUUCGCCAAGACGAUCUUAAAUUAUGAUUGUUGAAUUUUUCGUGACCAUUGCAGGACUGAGACUGGAAUGAAUUAUUAAAGAAUGAAUUCUAGCAUGCAAUGCAAACUGAAAGUGACCCUGACAAUUUUGAUCUGUACACAUUUUUGUAUCGGUUUGAUUGAGAAAAAUGGAUUUGUGUGUAACUAUGAUCGACUGAUACUUCAUAGUGACGAAUUGAUGUAUUUCUGAAGCUUGCUUGACGAGGAAAUAAAAA